CUGGAGGUGAAGCAGUGCCCUCAUUCCGCGUUUCUCUGUGUGCCAGGUGUCCCUGCGGGCUGAGAGGAGCCCUUUGCUCAUUGAGGACAAGGGCAGAGGGACCCCGUGGGUGUGCUAAGUGUCAUCAAGGACCGUCUGCUCCUCCGCAGCGCGCUGAGAAGGGACAGGCAAAAGAAUAACAACAAAUACAUUCCUAGACAAAAGCCCUGGGGCUGGAGAACAGUUUGGUUGGCAGCAUCAACAGCCCAGCAUUAGGUAGCACUGUACCGGAAAAUUACCUCCUCCUUGCAGCACAGGCGGUUUGAAAGAGGCGGUUUUUGAAAGAGGUGAGUGUAUGUACAAACAGUUGUGUCUUUACUCUCUGCUGUUUAACUCAUUCCCCCUGCUCUGGGUCCUGUUGCACUAGAGGUUCAGAGAAAUGAGACUGAAUGGGUGGUGAAACAGGUCUGGUUUAUCUCGUGUUGCUGUUUAGUAGUGAAGUAGAAAAUGAAGAGUUAGGAAUGUGAGAAAAAGCAGGUAUGUGUUUUGCAACAGAAAUAAAAGUGGAUUUCCUCGUGGCACUUGACCAGAUCUUCCAGGCUCUGGAACUAUUCUCAGGUUGGGAGCUUUGGGUGGAAACUGGAUGGGAAGAGAAUGUUCCAUGUCAGAGCUGCACAAUUGCCUGUGUCCUCCUCUCCUGGGAGUGGGGAUGCCUUCCCUGUCCACGGACAUGCUGGGACAGUGUCUGUCAGUGCCCUCUCCAACCUUGGCUGGACAGGCAGUUAUGGCCCCAAGCCAGAAUAAUCGCUGCAGUUUGGGGAGUUCAGCCCAGCAGAGCCGCGAGCUCCGACAGAGAAACAAGACCCUAUUGAGGGAGAGCACUGGAACGACUGCUCCGUGGCCAGGGUGCUCCUUCCCAUGAAUAAGGGGACAAAAGUCUGGGGCUAAUGAGAAGCCCGAUGCUGGAGUGUUUGUUUUAAAGACAGUGGUUUAUUCUGCAGGCUCUGCUCUGGAGGCAAGGGAAAUUCUCUCUGGGAUCAGGAGUCUCCCAAAGGAAGGGGCUCCUGUUUAGCCUGGUUCUGCAGCUCUUCCCAGCAGAGGUGACAGUGCAUGAACCUGCUCUGGAGUCCAUGGAAAUGACUGGGAGCCUGUCUGUGUCACGGAAUGUGCUGCAGCAGGACAAGCACAGUGCUUGGCUGAAGUGUAUGGGAGGAUCUAUUUGGAGACUUUCCUGGGGGAUGGAAGGGGUGCAGGGCUUGCCCUAAGGCUCUGUUGGAAAGAAUUCCUGGCUCAGACACACUGAGGCAGUGGAGGGAUGAUCUGUACAGAGCACUGGAGAAAGCUCCUCAGGGAUCAGAGGAGAAUAGUCCUGGACAUCCUGGGGGGGCAGAUAAGGAGUUACGUAGUUCUUUACCGUAAUUGGGGUUCAGACCCCUGUGAACAGCCUGUCAGGGAAAUAUCUGGCAUGACCUAUAAAUGCAAAGGUUGGGUUUGGGUUUCGUUGCUUUGGGAAAAUAGUUUUUUCUUUCUUAUUUUCCCCUUGAUAUUUAUCAGACUUUCAUUUCAUCUUUAGGGUAGAUGGAAAGUAGUGUGUCAGCCAGCAGCAGAGGUGACUGACUCUCUGCCCAGUGCCUGCUCUGUGCUGGGAAAAUCAUUCCUAUGGAAGCUGUACCUGUUCUGUGCAGUCUCCCCACUCUGCACAGCCUCUCCUCCCACCCAUGCCAGCGAGGAGGCUCCUGCAGGGGGGCUCAGGCAACUGUGAACAUUCACUACAACACCCAAACCAGGGAUUAUUUAUAUUCCAAAUCCCAUUUUUCAGCACUGUCAAUUUUUCCCUUACGGGCAAACGAAAAGACAGUUAAAGGGACUUUU
ensembl:lncRNA